UUCAUUCCCCCCAGUCCAGGGGAUAAAUGGAGAGACCUCUGCCAUAAUGACCUCCAUUACAGGACUCAGACCCUAGUCUACGAGAGUCCAGGAGGGCUGGAGGAAGUCAUUAGGAACUGACCACGCCCCCAGCACACUGGGCAGAGUCCAUUUUCCCAGGGCCAUCCCCACCCCCUUGGUCAGAACGGGGCUCCUUACUCUUGCGGAGCCUGCCCAGCACACCCUGUACCCUUCUUUCACUCUUGAACCAGACUGAAGAUUACCCUGGCAGCUGAGAGGACUUGAGCCCUCCUGAGAAAGGAGCAGUAGCUGGUCCCUCCAGAUUACAGCUGUUCCUGGGCAUCCUGAACUUUGCACUCCAGUCUGAGGGCUCCAAAGAAUGGCUGCCAUGGCAACCGUUUCCAUGUUUUUGUCACCAAGGGACUCAACACUCAGUGUGAACUCUGAUGGGGGGGUGGGGAGCCUUCCAGCCCAGAGAAGUGGCUGGGCCAUGUAUGUUUGACUGAGCAGAUGAAGGUCACCGUGGCAACUGAGUGCCCCUUAGCUAAGCAAGGGGGAGCCGCCACCCCCCGCUUCCCUAAGAGCCCCUGUUUCCUCUCCUCUGGACUGAGCUGAAUACAGAAUGAGCCUCCCUCAGGAUGUGGCUGUUUCCCUGCAUGGGACCUCAGACCCUGGCCCAGCCACAGUGUCCCCCAGCUGGGGUGGACAGGGGUGGCCAUGAGGAUGCUGCAGAAGGCACCUCUGGCUGGGGCCCCGGAGAAGGCAGCUUUGAUCCUAGGCACUGAGCAUCUAUUGGUGUUAUGAGCUGAACUGUGAUCCCCAAAAUUCCUAUGUUGAAGUCCUAAUUCCCAGUACUUGGGAAUGUGACAGUAUUUGGAGAUGGAGCCUUUAAAGAGGUAAUUAAGAUGAAGUGAUUCGAGGUGGGCUUUAAUCCAAUAUGACUGGUGUCCUCAUAUGAAGAGAUCAGGACACAGACACACAGAGGAACAAUUACGUGAAGACACAGUGAGAAUGUUACAUCUGCGAGCCAAGGAGAGACGCCUGAGAAGAAACCCACCCUGCAGACACCUGAAUCUAGUACUUCCAACCUCCAGAACGGUAAAAAAAUAAAUCGCUGUUGUUUAAGCCUC